CAAUUUUGGAGAUGUACUUGAUCUAAGGCCUUAUAUGGAUCCCAGGUGUGCAGACGGAGAGAAAUAUGUAUAUCGACUGCUUGGGGUAGUGGAGCAUUUGGGAACAAUGAGAGGAGGUCACUAUGUCGCUUAUGUGAGAGGAGGUGAGAAAAGCAAAGGCAAGGCAGUAAAUGAAAAUGAGGGCUCUAUGUGGCAUCAUGCCAGUGAUGUCUUUGUGCGUGAGGUUUCCUUGGAAGAAGUUCUUCACUGCGA
rnacentral:misc_RNA from 1 species